CUCAACUCAUAGCUCACCCGCCUUCAGAGACUUCUUGGCCCAUCUUAGCUGGAAGGGAUCUGUUCCAGCGCUGAGCUUUUAUUUUGCUUAGCAUCUACUCAGAUGCCUUGACUGUGUGUGUCUCACAGUCCUACUGACUGACAAACUCCCUGGGGGCCGAGAUGGCAUGGAUUCAGGUCUCAGAUGCUCUAUGGCACCUGGGAGCAUCUUACACAGGUGAAGUGCUCAGUGAUGAUCUGGGGUCACUAUUCUCUGCAGAUCAGCAUGUCUGAGAGGUAGGGGCUCACAGACUGUGGAACUGGUGUAAGACCUUUGUCUUUUCCCAGCUACUAACAGGUCCUGCUUGUCACAGCCCUUCCAUGAUACAAAGUUAAGUCAUUUUGUGUCUGACACAGGCAAAGGAAAAUGACAGGCCCUUGCCUUCCCGGUCCUCAAGGGUCAGCUGUAAGAUGAUGUCAUAAAGCCGGAUCAGGUCCUGGGGCCGGGGGAAGCACUUGCUGUCAUCCUCUGGCUGCUGCUGCAGCAGAGCCCUCUGCAGACCUUUGGCCAUGCUCUCAUUACGCUUGAUUGCCAUUGACAGCUUGAUGUAAGUCAGGUAGGUGGAAUGCACCACACGUCAGCUCAAGUUAUACUCAGAGAAGCAGAGGAACUGGGAGGACUGCACUACGAGUUGGGGCUGACCCAGAGGAAGUCGGGGGUGAGUUGGGGCAAGGCCACAGCAGGGCCAUUUGGCCUGGGCUUCAAGGGACCCUGUAAUCCCAACUACUUGGCAGGCUGAGGCAGGAGAAUCACUUGAAUCCGGGAGGUGGAGGUUUCAGUGAGCCGAGAUAGUGCCACUUCACUGCAGCCUGGGCGACAAGAGUGAAACUCCGUCUCAAAGAAAACUAAAAUAGGCUGGGUGCAGUGACUCAUGCCUGUAAUCCCAGCACUUUGGGAGGCCGAGAUGGGUGGAUCACCUGAGGCUGGGAGUUCAAGACCAGCCUGACCAACAUGGAGAAACCCCAUCUCUACUAAAAAUACAAAAUUAGCUGGGCGUGGUGGCUCAUGCCUGUAAUCCCAGCUACUCAGGAGGCUGAGGCAGGAGAACUGCUUGAACCUGAGAGGCGGAGGUUGUAGUGAGCUGGGAUUGCUCCAUUGCACUCCAGCCUGGGCAACAAGAGCGAACCUCCGUCUCAAAAAAUAAAUAAAUAAA
rnacentral:lncRNA from 10 species